AAUCCCCUGCAGUGUUCGUCGAAGCCGUAGAUUCCUUGAACCAAUGUCGAGAGACUUGGUCGCGGACCGUAGUGCCGGCGGUGUGCAUGCCCCGAUAGGGGAAGCCUGAAGCGGUGGGAAUGCGACCACCCUGAACCCUAGGUUCAGGAUGCCCGGCAGAGACGGCACAGGCGGGGGGCCA
rnacentral:other from 1 species